UUGCCAUUGAAAACCCUGCUGAUGUCA
rnacentral:piRNA from 2 species